rnacentral:rRNA from 1 species
AUUGAACGCUGGCGGCAGGCUUAACACAUGCAAGUCGAGCGAGCGGCGGACGGGUGAGUAAUGUCUGGGAAACUGCCUGAUGGAGGGGGAUAACUACUGGAAACGGUAGCUAAUACCGCAUACCAUCGGAUGAGCCCAGAUGGGAUUAGCUAGUAGGUGGGGUAACGGUUCACCUAGGCGACGAUCCCUAGCUGGUCUGAGAGGGUGACCAGCCACACUGGAACUGAGACACGGUCCAGACUCCUACGGUAGGCAUCAGUGGGGAAUAUUGCACAAGUGGCGAAAGCCUGAUGCAGCCAUGCCGCGUGUGUGAAGAAGGCCUUCGGGUUGUAAAGUACUUUCAGCGUGGAGGCGUUACUCGCAGAAGAAGCACCGGCUAACUCCGUGCCAGCCGCCGCGGUAAUUC